GACGAACGCUGGCGGCGUGCCUAAUACAUGCAAGUCGAACGCAGUGGGGACGGGUGAGUAACACGUGGGUAACCUCCCAUCAGAGGGGAUAACACUUGGAAACAGGCGCUAAACCGCUACUGAUGGAUGGACCCGCGGUGCAUUAGCUAGGUGGUGGGGUAACGGCUCACCAGGGCGACGAUGCAUAGCGGGCCUGAGAGGGUGAUCGGCCACACUGGGACUGAGACACGGCCCAGACUCCUACGGGAGGCAGCAGUGGGGAAUCUUCGGCAAUGGGCGAAAGUCUGACCGAGCAACGCCGCGUGUGUGAAGAAGGUUUUCGGAUCGUAAAGCUCUGUUGUUAGAGAAGCGGUAUCUAACCAGAAAGCCACGGCUAACUACGUGCCAGCCGCCGCGGUAAUUC
rnacentral:rRNA from 1 species